UAGAGUUUCGGAGUUACCUCGUCAGGCUCAUAACCUGAAGGUCGUCGGUUCAAAUCCUUCCCCCGCAACCA
rnacentral:tRNA from 1 species